CCCUACGGGGUGCAGCAGGCGGAAUGAUAAGUCAGUGGUGAAAUUCAACGGCUCAACUGUUGACCUGCCAUUGAUACUGUCAAUCUAGAGUAUAGUUGGAGUGGGCGGAAUGUGUCAUGUAGCGGUGAAAUGCUUAGAUAUGACACAGAACACCGAUCGCGAAGGCAGCUCACUAAGCUAAAACUGACGCUCAUGCACGAAAGCGUGGGGAUCAAACA
rnacentral:rRNA from 1 species